GUAGGUGGCAAGCGUUGUCCGGAUUUACUGGGCGUAAAGCGCGCGCAGGCGGCUCAUCAAGUCUGGGGUGAAAUCUCCCGGCUCAACCGGGAGAGGUCUCUGGAUACUGAUGGGCUUGAGGAGAGCAGAGGAGAGCGGAAUUCCAGGUGUAGCGGUGAUAUGCGUAGAUAUCUGGAGGAACACCAGUGGCGAAGGCGGCUCUCUGGGCUCUUUCUGACGCUGAGGCGCGAAAGCGUGGGGAGCGAACCGGAUUAGAUACCCGGGUAGUCCACGCCCGUAAACGUUGGGCACUAGGUGUGGGAGGUAUUGACCCCUUCCGUGCCGAAGUUAACGCGAUAAGUGCCCCCGCCUGGGAGUACGGCCGCAAGGCUA
rnacentral:rRNA from 1 species